GCCUUCGUAGUGUAGUGGUCAGGACACUGGGCGCGUAUUCCAGAGGUCCGUGGUUCAAGUCCCGGUGAAGGCG
rnacentral:tRNA from 1 species